AGUGAACGCUGGCGGCGUGCUUAACACAUGCAAGUCGAACGAGAACGGAUUAUAGCUUGCUAUAAUUGUCAGCUAAGUGGCGCACGGGUGAGUAAUGUAUAGGUAAUAUGCCUCUUACUAAGGGAUAACAAAUGGAAACGUUUGCUAAUACCUUAUACUCCUUAUUAACAGAAGUUAAUAAGGGAAAGAUUUAUUGGUAAGAGAUUAGCCUGUAUUGUAUCAGUUAGUUGGUGGGGUAAUGGCUUACCAAGACUACGACAGAUAACUGGUUUUAGAGGGUGAUCAGGCAAACUGGAACUGAGACACGGUCCAGACUCCUACGGGAGGCAGCAGUGGGGAAUAUUGCACAAUGGACGAAAGUCUGAUGCAGCAACGCCGCGUGGAGGAUGACACAUUUCGGUGCGUAAACUCCUUUUAUAUGAGAAGAUAAUGACGGUAUUAUAUGAAUAAGCACCGGCUAACUCCGUGCCAGCAGCCGCCGUAA
rnacentral:rRNA from 1 species